UACAGCCAUAUCAGGUUGAAAUACCGGUUUUCAUACGAUAACCGAAGUUCAGCAGCGUCGAACCUGGCUAGUACCUGGAUGGAUGACCGCUUGGAAAUGCCAAAAGCUGUA